AGGCCAUCUAUCCCUUUUAAUAUUUAGCUCCAUCAAUGAUAAUAUACACUUUUGCGCAGAUGGCAUAAUCGUUAUAUUGAUAUGUUUUCACAUAAAUUGAUACAUUUAUGGCUCGGUGACAUUUUUGGUGGUUGUCGAAAUUAACCAUUCAUAGGUUGGAUGAGCUAGUGGGUUGGAUUCAGCUGUAAGGUCAAUAUACUCCCAACAAACAAACGCGCCAUAUGGUUGCUUGGGAUGACAAUAGAAAUAGCAAUUGAAAAAUAUUUUUAAAAUGAAGGACUGUGACAACAAUUAUGUUUGUUGGCAUAAGGGGGUGGGAAGCCCUACAAGAAAAAGUAGGACUGCAGGGUUGACGAACGGCUGUGUGGACAGUUCAACGUGCAAUAGCCCGAGAAGGAACUACAGUGUUAUGCGCAGAGCGGCAUGCAUCGUCUCCAAAUACCUCUGACCGAUGUUACAUUCCGUGAACAGAACCAGGGGCUGGAUGCGUGAGCUUUUGAAGACAUGGGUUUUUGAUAUUAGCCCGACUGCUUAUAAUGAUAUCGUGCACUAUGACCUGUACACUAACCCUAGCGUUUUUCUUCCGGACAAACAUGGUUGAGGACUCAUAUGGAUAAGGAUACAUAUGAACAAAAUCUGUGUUCAAGUAGAAGUGCAUCUCCGUCAACAUGCGGAUCCGUCUCUUCUGCAGAAGAUGGCAUUAACAGGCGGUAAAAUUUCAUCUGGUGGUGUCAAAUUGAGGUCAGUUUAGGGUUAAAGCUCUCGGUGUCCGUGUGGGACAUGGCCAGCUGCGUUUGGAUUCAUUAGGGGACAGCGGAUCCAUUUCAAGGAAAACACUACUGAGACAAUCACGAGGCUAAAGAUCCACUCGGUGUCACAUCCUAAAAGUGCACCCACUGUAAAAGAAGUAACCCCCAAACUCCCAUUUCAAAACAGACACCAAUAUCUCCACUUUGCCAUGGCUUCCUCUAAAGUAGCCUGGUAGCCUAUAUGUUGCUAACUAUGGAGAAAUGUUUUGUUGAUUUAAUUCCUUCAAAAAGGUCACUGAUACGAAUCGGGGUUUAAAUCCUCUUAGUGACCUUAAAUACUUCUUUAGAAACAAUCGCUGCUUAACCACAGGAACAAAUAACAUCGGCCUAAUCUUGUUUGUUACUUUGUUCUGAGUUGGCCCGCCUUAGAGUAUUUGAGAUUAUGCAAAUAGGAAAAGCUAAUGUUGGCUAUAGAAAGCCCACAGAUAAGAGUAGAUCAUAGACUUUUCUGAAGGGGACAGAAAACCAACACUUUCAGUAACCUAAAGGUCAAUACAAAGAUAAUUCUGAAUUGCGUUCAGGUAUAUUUAAUUUAUGGUUAUUUUCUGAAGUUUUAUAGUAGGCUUUUGUUCAAUUGAUGUUCAGACAAUAUCAGUACUCGAAUGUAUAUGUUAAAAUCUAGUGAUUAACUAACUAUUCAUUUAUAUAGGUUUGUUUAUCUCAGUGUUUACAUAAUCUACAGUGAAGUUUUUUUUGUUUAUACGUAGCCCUGUCAAUGUUUUCCUCAUGCAACACAUACGGCAUUACCUCACCAGGCUGAACUCUUUCUGACCCCACGUGAAAUGUGACUAGGGUCCCAGAAAGUGGAAUGAGCAACUCAAAUACUUGUCAAAGUUUCGCGACUAACUGUAAAUUCUUCAGUUCCUAAACCGUAU
ensembl:lncRNA